CACUACAGACUUGGAAAAAGUAAAGAUAUAAAGAGAAAAAUGAAUAGUAGAUACUUUAACAGGAAAUUCUUCUAUGUUUUUCAAAAACAACGCCAUUUUAUAUAUAUUUAAAUAUUCUACACAAAGGAUAUCUUUCAUAAAUAUCAGAAUGCAACAUUGGACACAACCUUGUUUAGACAGUCAGACUAAUAAAAGUCAACUUCAUCUAUAUAAUAGUCUUACCCGA
rnacentral:lncRNA from 1 species